UACGGCGAGGGGCUAGCGUUGUUCGGAAUUACUGGGCGUAAAGCGCACGUAGGCGGAUCAGUCAGUUAGAGGUGAAAGCCCAGGGCUCAACCCUGGAACUGCCUUUAAUACUGCUGGUCUGGAGUCCGAGAGAGGUGAGUGGAAUUCCGAGUGUAGAGGUGAAAUUCGUAGAUAUUCGGAGGAACACCAGUGGCGAAGGCGGCUCACUGGCUCGGUACUGACGCUGGAGGUGCGAAAGCGUGGGGAGCAAACAGG
rnacentral:rRNA from 1 species